rnacentral:rRNA from 1 species
AACGAACGCUGGCGGCAUGCCUAACACAUGCAAGUCGAACGAGACCUUCGGGUCUAGUGGCGCACGGGUGCGUAACGCGUGGGAACCUGCCCUUAGGUUCGGAAUAACUCCCCGAAAGGGGUGCUAAUACCGGAUAAUGUCUUCGGACCAAAGAUUUAUCGCCUUUGGAUGGGCCCGCGUUGGAUUAGCUAAUUGGUAGGGUAAAAGCCUACCAAGGCGACGAUCCAUAGCUGGUCUGAGAGGAUGAUCAGCCACACUGGGACUGAGACACGGCCCAGACUCCUACGGGAGGCAGCAGUGGGGAAUAUUGGACAAUGGGCGAAAGCCUGAUCCAGCAAUGCCGCGUGAGUGAUGAAGGCCUUAGGGUUGUAAAGCUCUUUUACCCGGGAUGAUAAUGACAGUACCGGGAGAAUAAGCACCGGCUAACUCCGUG